rnacentral:rRNA from 1 species
ACUCAAAUGAAUUGACGGGGACCCGCACAAGCGGUGGAACAUGUGGUUUAAUUCGAGGCAACGCGAAGAACCUUACCAAGACUUGACAUGCCCUCUAUGGAAGCCAGAAAAGGUUUCCUUCACUUCGGGUGGGAGGUGCACAGGUGCUGCAUGGCUGUCGUCAGCUCGUGUCGUGAGAUGUUGGGUUAAGUCCCGCAACGAGCGCAACCCUCAUUCUCUGUUGCCAUCAGGUUAAGCUGGGCACUCUGAGAAAACUGCCGGUGAUAAGCCGGAGGAAGGUGGGGAUGACGUCAAGUCCUCAUGGCCCUUACGUCUUGGGCUACACACGUGUUACAAUGGCGAUGACAAUGGGCUGCUAACCUGCGAGGGUGCGCUAAUCCCAAAACGUCGCCUCAGUUCGGAUUGUACUCUGCAACUCGAGUACAUGAAGCUGGAAUCGCUAGUAAUCGCGGAUCAGCACGCCGCGGUGAAUACGUUCCCGGGUCUUGCACACACCGCCCGU